AACCACACCACAAAAUGACUUCCAAAAAGUCAUAUGCAAGAAAUUAUGUCUAUGGGUCGGCUCUUGAGAAUCAUCUUGACCUUGAUUGCAUUUUGCUUUCCUGCUGCUCUCUGUCAGUUAAAUAACAUUAUAAAAGAUAGAAAAAACGUCAGACUCCUUCCAAUCAGCCAAGAUGGAAAGUUUAUGCGUCUUCCUCUACAGUUCCGCCUUAAAACCAAACACAGCAGGGAGCUGACGUCAAACGAUAAAAUCAGAAAAUUUCCUUCGACCAAAAAACAAGUUA